rnacentral:rRNA from 1 species
GACGAGGGGGUCCAAGCGUUGUUCGGAAUCAUUGGGCGUAAAGCGGGUGUAGGUGGCUCUGUAAGUCAGGAGUGAAAAGCCCCCGAGCUUAACUUGGGAAGUGCUUUUGAUACUGCAGAACUUGAGUGUGGGAGAGGAUCGUGGAAUUCCAGGUGUAGUGGUGAAAUACGUAGAUAUCUGGAGGAACACCGGUGGCGAAGGCGGUUCUCUGGGCCUUACCUGACGCUGG